UCUAAUGUGGCAGAUUAGUGCAAUAGAUUUAAGCUCUAUAUAUAAAGGAUUCCCCUUUCAUUAGAA
rnacentral:tRNA from 1 species